rnacentral:lncRNA from 1 species
AUAAAAAUUGAGGCUUCUUUUGUCAUUAAAUUUAUUUGAUUUUAGGGUGUGCUCCGUGCCAGCGCACUGUUCGCCCUUCCCCUUGAGCCGCGCUGCUUAGUGCUAUCAUUUCUCUAAUUAACUAGAAUCUGUAAAUUGUUUCAGAAUCCUCUUUUAUCGGGUUGAUUAAAUGGGAAAAUGUUAUGCACUUUUUUUGUAGCCUUAGACUUAUGUAAUUUCCAGUGAUAUUUAGAGAUAAUAAUUAAUCCGCUAUAUACCUGAAUUCCUAUUGUAUUAUUCUAGUAACGCAACUCUUAUCAAGUUAUCAUUAAUAACACUUCAGGAUACUAUCUUUUAGCAUAAAUGGUAAUUUGACUAUAUAACUUUCAGUCGAAAAAAUCUAACCUAUAUUAAAAGGGAUAUAUGAAGGCUUCUAAGAUGUGUCACGUAGGAUUAAAAAUUCAUCCAAUCAAAAGGUUAUAUUUUGACAUGUCACGCAGCUGUGUCCAUCUGACUCUUCAUUCUUCUUUACCAUCUCCGUUCUCUAGCAAUCACCGUUACUGUGAAACCCUCCUCAUCAAUCAAAGUUGCUAUUUAAUCUCUUCUUCACGGUUUUGUUCCAUCUCCCGUAGAUUCUCCUACGAUAUAAGCCGCUUCA